GACGAACGCUGGCGGCGUGCUUAACACAUGCAAGUCGAACGGUGAACCCCUUCGGGGGGGAUCAGUGGCGAACGGGUGAGUAACACGUGAGCAACCUGCCCCUGACUCUGGGAUAACCCCGGGAAACCGGAGCUAAUACCGGAUACGACCUGCUCGGGCAUCCGAUGCGGGUGGAAAGAUUUAUCGGUUGGGAUGGGCUCGCGGCCUAUCAGCUUGUUGGUGGGGUGAUGGCCUACCAAGGCGACGACGGGAGCCGGCCUGAGAGGGCGACCGGCCACACUGGGACUGAGACACGGCCCAGACUCCUACGGGAGGCAGCAGUGGGGAAUUUUGGGCAAUGGGCGAAAGCCUGACCCAGCAACGCCGCGUGAAGGAUGAAG
rnacentral:rRNA from 1 species